GGGUUCCCGCUGCUCUGGAGUCGGGAUAAGUCAAACCCUUUGGUUUCCUGCCUGUUCAGAUCCAGACAGAGAUGAGAGAAUCGAGACAAGGAAAUCAUAUGCACUGUCCAGUCUAAUACAAUUGCAGGAACAAUCUCAUUGCAUUUGUUGACAAAGAGCUCUCUGUGCAAGCAGGAGAGAAGGCAUGGAUGUGUGAGGGCUGGUGAGUUAAUCAGGAGAGAGGGGCUGCAGCUUGACCUGAGGAGGGACAGCAAAAAAGGACACAAGUCUUGGUGUAUUUUGGAAAUGGAGUCAGAACUUUGCGAUGGAUUGGCUCCAGAGGAAAGAAGUGCAUCUUGUAUACUGCAGUAAAUAAAGAAAUGUAGGCUGGAGGUGUUCAGAAGCCUUUACAGGGCAUUUCCCUGGACAUGUUGUGUGCAAUGCAAGCCUGGCAUACUUAUGUGAGACGCGCAGAACAUAUUUGGAAGCAGCACACGGGUUCGAGAGCUUCUCAUACUAUUAAUGAGAAUAAUGAAAUAAGAUGCAAGAAGGCUCAAUGUCCAAUCAUGAGCCCAAAGGUUUUCUCCUCCACUUUGCUGUAUUUCAUCAGGGAUUUGUUUCUGUGCAAUGAAAGGGAGU